CAAGGCUUGACAUGGAUUUCUAAGCACGUGAAAGCGUGUGACCCUUCGGGGAACUUCCACAGGUGCUGCAUGGCCGUCGUCAGCUCGUGUCGUGAGAUGUUGGGUUAAGUCCCGCAACGAGCGCAACCCUUGUGAAUAGUUGCCAGCACGUCAUGGUGGGAACUCUAUUCAGACUGCCCAGAUCAACUGGGAGGAAGGUGGGGACGACGUCAGGUCAGUAUGGCCCUUACGCCUUGGGCUGCACACGUACUACAAUGCCCAGUACAAUGAGAACCGAUGCCGCGAGGUGGAGGAAAUCUGUAAAACUGGGCCCAGUUCGGAUUGGAGGCUGCAACUCGCCUCCAUGAAGUUGGAAUCGCUAGUAAUGGCGCAUCAUCUACGGCGCCGUGAAUACGUUCCC
rnacentral:rRNA from 1 species